UCCGGCCAGUCGGAUCCACCAGCGGGGAGGCCGGGAUCGGCGCCAGAUCUGGAGGCCCCGGCCUCCCCGUUGGCCAACGUGGCGGCGGUA
rnacentral:pre_miRNA from 1 species